GUCUCUCUCUUCUUAUUCCCCCUAUAGAAAAAUGCCUCCUCUUAUCUCAUUCGAUCCCCACCAGGUUCCUCAUCCCACACGCAUCAUAUUUCACCCGAUUUGCUGCCAGCGAAGGAAGAUUUUGCCACUUCCAGUUGUCGCGGGAGUGCGUGGUCGCGUUUGACGCAGUCUCAAGGAUGCGGAUCGAGUCUGGCAGCGCGGCCAUGGGGAGGGCAAGCGAAAACGCGGCAUGCUGCUUGGUUUCCCGUGCGAGCUCGUGCCAUAGACAAUGGUUGGUCUGAGGCACGGAACAGCGGGUGGCACCGCGGCUUUUUAGCUACGUCCCAUGAGAUCUAUGAUGAGGUAAUGGCGGCGCCGGACAAAGGUAGCAGUAUGUACAACACCAGCGAGGCCGUUGAUUUGCUUAUAUCCGGUUUCGCUAUUAAGUUACUGAAGCAAGGUUGGGAGUGCAUGCCGUGACUUCGUCGGACAUCGAGUGGGAACAGUUGGGCGUGACUUCUUCAGGCGUCGAGCUUGCUUUGGCAUGAUUUCAUUGGACAUCGAGUGGAGUGGUUGGGCAUGGCUUUCACGUUGCCUGGCAGCCCCGUUGACUCCAAUCUCACUAUGACGCGACUUUGCUAGGCAUCAAGUGUGAUUUGGCGUGAUUUCAUCAGAGAUUGAGUGAAGUUGUUGGGCAUGGCUUUAUCGUUGCCUGGCAGUUCCAUCGGCUUGACAUCGAGUCGUGUGUUUCAUUGUGGGACUGAUUUUCUUCUAGCAUCUUCAAGUCACGGUGAUGACCGUCUAAUUCUUUGGUGUGUGCUUGGGCCGGUUGGACUUCUUUUGUUUAUAUAUGGGUUGAGGUGGCUGGGUUAUCUGGCCAAGACCGUAUGGAAAUCUAAGACUUGUCUUGUUUACAUGUGUCCCUUUUGGAAAUUUCAUUA